GGGCUUGUGAAGCCGCAAGCCGCCACCUAUAUUGCCAGUGUCCGGAGCAAUCCGGACUAUGGCGAUAAACGCACCCAUAAUAAACGGCUCGGACCCGGGGGCGGUACCCGGCGACUCCACCAACAUUCCCGGCAUUGCGGGCGAUUGGGGUCGAAACAGGAUCGACGAACGUCUAAAGGGGCCAGCUUUUGCUCGGUGAGCUACCACCGUUAUCGGUGCAAACGUACAGUUGCCAAUGACAACCGUGCUCCGGCAUAUGCUCUGGCUGCGUAAGCAGUUCGAGUAGCCGAAACUAAGUCCUUGCGCUUAGCCGCGUAAGGCGGGGUCCGCCGGAACCUGGCAACAGAAUCCGGCACC
rnacentral:tmRNA from 3 species